CGGCGGACGGGUGAGUAACACGUGGGUAACCUGCCCAUAAGACUGGGAUAACUCCGGGAAACCGGGGCUAAUACCGGAUAACAUUUUGAACCGCAUGGUUCGAAAUUGAAAGGCGGCUUCGGCUGUCACUUAUGGAUGGACCCGCGUCGCAUUAGCUAGUUGGUGAGGUAACGGCUCACCAAGGCAACGAUGCGUAGCCGACCUGAGAGGGUGAUCGGCCACACUGGGACUGAGACACGGCCCAGACUCCUACGGGAGGCAGCAGUAGGGAAUCUUCCGCAAUGGACGAAAGUCUGACGGAGCAACGCCGCGUGAGUGAUGAAGGCUUUCGGGUCGUAAAACUCUGUUGUUAGGGAAGAACAAGUGCUAGUUGAAUAAGCUGGCACCUUGACGGUACCUAACCAGAAAGCCACGGCUAACUACGUGCCAGCAGCCGCGGUAAUACGUAGGUGGCAAGCGUUAUCCGGAAUUAUUGGGCGUAAAGCGCGCGCAGGUGGUUUCUUAAGUCUGAUGUGAAAGCCCACGGCUCAACCGUGGAGGGUCAUUGGAAACUGGGAGACUUGAGUGCAGAAGAGGAAAGUGGAAUUCCAUGUGUAGCGGU
rnacentral:rRNA from 1 species